rnacentral:rRNA from 1 species
GUGGGGAAUUUUGGACAAUGGGGGCAACCCUGAUCCAGCAAUGCCGCGUGCAGGAAGAAGGCCUUCGGGUUGUAAACUGCUUUUGUACGGAACGAAAAGGCUCUGGUUAAUACCUGGGGCACAUGACGGUACCGUAAGAAUAAGCACCGGCUAACUACGUGCCAGCAGCCGCGGUAAUACGUAGGGUGCAAGCGUUAAUCGGAAUUACUGGGCGUAAAGCGUGCGCAGGCGGUGCUGUAAGACAGGCGUGAAAUCCCCGGGCUUAACCUGGGAAUGGCGCGUGUGACUGCAGUGCUGGAGUGUGGCAGAGGGGGAUGGAAUUCCGCGUGUAGCAGUGAAAUGCGUAGAUAUGCGGAGGAACACCGAUGGCGAAGGCAAUCCCCUGGGCCUGCACUGACGCUCAUGCACGAAAGCGUGGGGAGCAAACAGGAUUAGAUACCCGAGUAGUCC